rnacentral:rRNA from 1 species
GAUGAACGCUAGCGGCAGGCUUAACACAUGCAAGUCGAGGGGUAGAGGUUGCUUGCAACCUUGAGACCGGCGCACGGGUGCGUAACGCGUAUGCAACCUACCUUUUACAGAGGGAUAGCCCAGAGAAAUUUGGAUUAAUACCUCAUAGUAUAUAACCUUCGCAUGUUGGUUAUAUUAAAGUUUCAACGGUAAAAGAUGGGCAUGCGUCCUAUUAGCUAGAGGGUAAGGUAACGGCUUACCAUGGCAACGAUAGGUAGGGGUCCUGAGAGGGAGAUCCCCCACACUGGUACUGAGACACGGACCAGACUCCUACGGGAGGCAGCAGUGAGGAAUAUUGGACAAUGGGCGCAAGCCUGAUCCAGCCAUGCCGCGUGCAGGAAGAAGCAUCUAUGGUGUGUAAACUGCUUUUGUACAGGAAGAAACACCCCGACGUGUCGGGACUUGACGGUACUGUAAGAAUAAGGAUCGGCUAACUCCGUGCCAGCCGCCGCGGUAAUAC